GGAGGCGCGAGACUGCCUUUGCCAGACCUUCCGAUUCCCGGAUGUUUUGUGGUUCCAAGGCAUCCUGCUCCUGAACCUGAAGGAUUCAUCAAUGUCCACUACUAAUAUUUUAGUAUUCUAUCUUAUAAUGCAAUAAAUCGUGAUAGAUUUUAAGGUU